AUUGAACGCUGGCGGCAUGCUUUACACAUGCAAGUCGAACGGUAACAGGUCUUCGGAUGCUGACGAGUGGCGAACGGGUGAGUAAUACAUCGGAACGUGCCUAGUAGUGGGGGAUAACUACUCGAAAGAGUAGCUAAUACCGCAUGAGAUCUACGGAUGAAAGCAGGGGACCUUCGGGCCUUGUGCUACUAGAGCGGCUGAUGGCAGAUUAGGUAGUUGGUGGGGUAAAGGCUUACCAAGCCUGCGAUCUGUAGCUGGUCUGAGAGGACGACCAGCCACACUGGGACUGAGACACGGCCCAGACUCCUACGGGAGGCAGCAGUGGGGAAUUUUGGACAAUGGGCGAAAGCCUGAUCCAGCAAUGCCGCGUGCAGGAUGAAGGCCCUCGGGUUGUAAACUGCUUUUGUACGGAACGAAAAGCCUGGGGCUAAUAUCCCCGGGUCAUGACGGU
rnacentral:rRNA from 1 species